AUUGAACGCUGGCGGCAUGCCUUACACAUGCAAGUCGAACGGCAGCGCGGGGCAACCUGGCGGCGAGUGGCGAACGGGUGAGUAACAUAUCGGAACAUACCCUAGAGUGGGGAUAACGUAGCGAAAGUUACGCUAAUACCGCAUACGCACUAAGGUGGAAAGUGGGGGAUUCGCAAGAACCUCAUGCUCAUGGAGUGGCCGAUAUCUGAUUAGCUAGUUGGUGAGGUAAAGGCUCACCAAGGCGACGAUCAGUAGCUGGUUUGAGAGAACGACCAGCCACACUGGAACUGAGACACGGUCCAGACUCCUACGGGAGGCAGCAGUGGGAAUUUUGGACAAUGGGGGCAACCCUGAUCCAGCAAUGCCGCGUGAGUGAAGAAGGCCUUCGGGUUGUAAAGGACUCUUUGUCUAGGGAAGAGUAAUAGAC
rnacentral:rRNA from 1 species